GAGUACGUGAAACCGCCCAGAGGUAAACGGGUGGAUCCGCACACUCGGCCCGCGGAAUUCAGCGCGGCGCGCGGCUCGGGGCAGUUGCGGCUCGGGAUCCCUGGGACCCGGCCGCGGCGCCGCGCCGGGCUCCGCCGCGUGCACUUUCCGCGGGCAGAGCGCCACAACCGGUUCUCGGGGCGGCUAGAAGCCGGGGGGGAAGGUAGGUGGAGGCCGGCAACGGCCUUUACUGUUAUAGUCCUCUCUGGCGAGCUGCUCGGGGACCGAGGAACGACCGCGCGCUUCGAGGCUACCCGGCUUUCCGGGGGAGUUCGACUGGGAGAGACUGGGCAACCGUGUCUUCCGACCGCUCCUUCGUGACUGGAUCGGGCUAGCCGGGCGCGCUUUUGGGUUGGUGGCGAGUCAGUCGGCAUUCCACCCGACCCGUCUUGAAACACGGACCAAGGAGUCUAACAUGCGCGCGAGUCAUUGGGCUGUACGAAACCCAAAGGCGCAGUGAAAGCGAGGGUCGUCUCGGGCUGACCCAGGUGGGAUCCCUCUGGCAACGGGGGGCGCACCACCGGCCCGUCCCGUCUGCGUUGGCAGUGGGGCGGAGCAUGAGCGUGCACGCUGGGACCCGAAAGAUGGUGAACUAUGCCUGAGUAGAACGAAGCCAGAGGAAACUCUGGUGGAAGUUCGUAGCGAUUCUGACGUGCAAAUCGAUC
rnacentral:rRNA from 1 species